rnacentral:rRNA from 1 species
CGUAGGUGGCAAGCGUUGUCCGGAUUUACUGGGUGUAAAGGGCGUGCAGCCGGGUCUGCAAGUCAGAUGUGAAAUCCAUGGGCUCAACCCAUGAACUGCAUUUGAAACUGUAGAUCUUGAGUGUCGGAGGGGCAAUCGGAAUUCCUAGUGUAGCGGUGAAAUGCGUAGAUAUUAGGAGGAACACCAGUGGCGAAGGCGGAUUGCUGGACGAUAACUGACGGUGAGGCGCGAAAGUGUGGGAGCAAACAGGAUU